GAUGAAGAACGGAGCGAAAUGCGAUAAGUAGUGUGAAUUGCAGAAUUCAGUGAAUCAUCGAAUCUUUGAACGCACAUUGCGCCCGCCAGUAUUCUGGCGGGCAUGCCUGUCUGAGCGUCAUUUCAACCCUCAUGCCCCUAGGGCGUGGUGUUGGGGAUCGGCCAAAGCCCGCGAGGGACGGCCGGCCCCUAAAUCUAGUGGCGGACCCGUCGUGGCCUCCUCUGCGAAGUAGUGAUAUUCCGCAUCGGAGAGCGAUGAGCCCCUGCCGUUAAACCCCCAACUUUCCAAGGUUGACCUCAGAUCAGGUAGGAAUACCCGCUGAACUUAAGCAUAUCAAUAAGCGGAGGA
rnacentral:misc_RNA from 1 species